rnacentral:rRNA from 1 species
UACGUAGGGGGGCAAGCGUUGUCCGGAUUCAUUGGGCGUAAAGGGCGCGUAGGCGGCCUGCUAAGUCGGACGUGAAAUCCCUCGGCUCAACCGGGGAACUGCGUCCGAUACUGGUGGGCUCGAAUCCGGGAGAGGGAUGUGGAAUUCCACGUGUAGCAGUGAAAUGCGUAGAGAUGUGGAGGAACACCGAUGGCGAAGGCAGCCUCCUGGGGCCAGCACUGACGCGUCAUGCACCGAAAAGGCGUGGGGGAGCAAAACGG